GCUGGGCGCGGUGACGCACGCCUGUCACCCCAGCAGCUCCGGAGGCUGAGGCAGGAGGAUUGAGAGUUCAAAGCCAGCCUCAGCCAAAGCGAGGCCCUAAGCAACUCAGGGAUACCCUGUCUCUA
rnacentral:sRNA from 1 species